rnacentral:misc_RNA from 1 species
GAUGAAGAACGCAGCGAAAUGCGAUAAGUAAUGUGAAUUGCAGAAUUCAGUGUAUCAUCGAAUCUUUGAACGCACAUUGCGCCCCUUGGUAUUCCGAGGGGCAUGCCUAUUCGAGCGUCAUUAUCACCCCUCAAGCCUAGCUUGGUGUUGAGGCCUGCUGUCAAGGCAGCCUCUAAAAUCAGUGGCAGUGCUGUCAGGCUCUAAGCGUAGUAAAUCUAAUCGCUAUAGACACCUGGUGGACACUCGCCAGAACCCCCCCAUUUUUUAAUGAUUGACCUCGGAUUAGGUAGGGAUACCCGCUGAACUUAAGCAUAUCAAUAAGCGGAGGA